rnacentral:rRNA from 1 species
GUGCCAGCCGCCGCGGUAAUACAGAGGGUGCGAGCGUUAAUCGGAUUUACUGGGCGUAAAGCGUGCGUAGGCGGCUUUUUAAGUCGGAUGUGAAAUCCCCGAGCUUAACUUGGGAAUUGCAUUCGAUACUGGGAAGCUAGAGUAUGGGAGAGGAUGGUAGAAUUCCAGGUGUAGCGGUGAAAUGCGUAGAGAUCUGGAGGAAUACCGAUGGCGAAGGCAGCCAUCUGGCCUAAUACUGACGCUGAGGUACGAAAGCAUGGGGAGCAAACAGGAUUAGAUACCCUGGUAGUCCAUGCCGUAAACGAUGUCUACUAGCCGUUGGGGCCUUUGAGGCUUUAGUGGCGCAGCUAACGCGAUAAGUAGACCGCCUGGGGAGUACGGUCGCAAGACUAAAACUCAAAUGAAUUGACGGGGGCCCGCACAAGCGGUGGAGCAUGUGGUUUAAUUCGAUGCAACGCGAAGAACCUUACCUGGCCUUGACAUACUAGAAACUUUCCAGAGAUGGAUUGGUGCCUUCGGGAAUCUAGAUACAGGUGCUGCAUGGCUGUCGUCAGCUCGUGUCGUGAGAUGUUGGGUUAAGUCCCGCAACGAGCGCAACCCUUUUCCUUACUUGCCAGCAUUUCGGAUGGGAACUUUAAGGAUACUGCCAGUGACAAACUGGAGGAAGGCGGGGACGACGUCAAGUCAUCAUGGCCCUUACG